GUGCUCCCUUUGGCAGCACAUACACUAAAAUUGGAAUGAUACAGAGAAGAUUAGCAUGGCCCCUGCACAAGGAUGUCACACAAAUUCGUGAUAUGUUCCAUAUUUUA
rnacentral:snRNA from 1 species